UACGUAGGGUGCAAGCGUUGUCCGGAUUUAUUGGGCGUAAAGAGCUCGUAGGCGGUUUGGUAAGUCGGAUGUGAAGUCUCCAGGCUCAACCUGGAGUCGCCAUCCGAUACUGCCAUGACUUGAGUCCGGUAGGGGACCAUGGAAUUCCUGGUGUAGCGGUGAAAUGCGCAGAUAUCUGGAGGAACACCGAUGGCGAAGGCAGCCCCCUGGGUCAAAACUGACGCUCAUGCACGAAAGCGUGGGGAGCAAAUCAGG
rnacentral:rRNA from 1 species